AUUGAACGCUGGCGGCAUGCUUUACACAUGCAAGUCGAACGGUAACAGGCCGCAAGGUGCUGACGAGUGGCGAACGGGUGAGUAAUGCAUCGGAACGUGCCCAGUCGUGGGGGAUAACGCAGCGAAAGCUGUGCUAAUACCGCAUACGAUCUGUGGAUGAAAGCGGGGGACCGAAAGGCCUCGCGCGAUUGGAGCGGCCGAUGUCAGAUUAGGUAGUUGGUGGGGUAAAGGCUCACCAAGCCAACGAUCUGUAGCUGGUCUGAGAGGACGACCAGCCACACGGGGACUGGGACACGGCCCAGACUCCUACGGGAGGCAGCAGUGGGGAAUUUUGGACAAUGGGCGCAAGCCUGAUCCAGCAAUGCCGCGUGCAGGAAGAAGGCCUUCGGGUUGUAAACUGCUUUUGUACGGAGCGAAAAGGCUCUCUCUAAUACAGGGGGCUCAUGACGGUACCGUAAGAAUAAGCACCGGCUAACUACGUGCCAGCCGCCGCCGUAAGAC
rnacentral:rRNA from 1 species